UUGAACGCUGGCGGCAUGCUUUACACAUGCAAGUCGAACGGCAGCGCGGGCUUUGGCCUGGCGGCGAGUGGCGAACGGGGGAGGAAUACAUCGGAACGUGCCCAGCCGUGGGGGAUAGCUCGGCGAAAGCCGGAUUAAUACCUCAUACGACCUGAGGGCGAAAGCGGGGGAGCUUCGGACCUCGCGCUAUUGGAGCGGCCGAUGGCGGAGUAGCUAGUUGGGGGGGUAAAGGCCUACCAAGGCGACGAUCUGUAGGGUGUCUGAGAGGACGACCAGCCACACUGGGACUGAGACACGGCCCAGACUCCUACGGGAGGCAGCAGUGGGGAAUUUUGGACAAAGGGCGAAAGCCUGAUCCAGCAAUGCCGCGUGUGUGAUGAGGGCCUUCGGGUUGUAAAGCACUUUUGGCGGGAACGAAAAGGACUGUGCCAAUACCACGGUUCGAUGACGGUACCCGCAGAAUAAGCACCGGCUAACUACGUG
rnacentral:rRNA from 1 species